AUUGAACGCUGGCGGCAGGCCUAACACAUGCAAGUCGAGCGGAGCGGCGGACGGGUGAGUAAUGCCUAUGAAUCUGCCUGGUAGUGGGGGAUAACGUCCGGAAACGGGCGCUCAUACCGCAUUCUAUCAGAUGAGCCUAGGUCGGUUUAGCUAGUUGGUGGGGUAAAGGCCUACCAAGGCACCGAACCGUACCUGGUCUGAGAGGAUGAUCAGUCAAACUGGAACUGAGAAACGGUCCAGACUCCUACGGGAGGAAGCAGUGGGGAAUAUUAGACAAUGGGCGAAAGCCUAAUACAGCGAAGCCGCGGAUGUGAAGAAGGUGUUCGGAUUGUAAAGCACUGUAAGUUGGGAGGCGUUAACAACAGAAUAAGCAACGGCUAACUUCGUGCCAGCCGCCGCGGUAAUUC
rnacentral:rRNA from 1 species